ensembl:lncRNA
UUAUUAUUAUAUUUUUUUUAGAUCCAUCCUUGUUGCUGCCCGUAUUGAUAACUGGGUGCAUUUUUACGCUUCGCUGUUUUGGAGAACUUCCUCUCUGUGCUAAACGUCCGGCACUUUAUCUGCAUUCGCCGUUUGGAACCCUCACAACUACCCUGCUUUACAGCAGAGUAACCCGAGGCUAGGGGCGCCCGGCUGGGGAGCCCGGGGAGGAGGCGCGGGGUAGACACCGGCUAGUCAGAUUAUUACGCUUGCCCCGGUCGGGAGCCCGAUCUGCGGCACCUGCGGCUGGAGAGGGGAACGGUGGGUCUGGCCGUAUACAGCCGCGGACCGGACAAACGCCCCGGGACGGAGGCCUUGCCGGGCCGCCCGCGAGGCCGGAGCCAUGGAGGGUACUCCAUCCUACCGUACCCGGGCCGCCGGCCUCCAGAGCUGCCUGAUCCGGCUACGAGUAGAGGCGGGGCCGCGGUCUGGGGGCGCGCAAGGGCGCGGAGGAGCCGCAUUUCCGCGGACGCGUCACGUUGCUGGGCGCUUCACCACGCGCCGUUUCCCUCCGCGCGGACGGCGCUACUUCCCGAGGGGCCCGAGGACCCCAGUCGUCGCAGUUCUGGGACAGAGACUGGUGGAGAGCCCCAGAGCCGACGUAGACCGAGAGGAAGACGAGGAAUACCCGGAGCAGGAAGAGGCUGGCUGCCGCGGCGGCCACAGCGAAGAGCUCCAUUUGCAGCGUAGCCUCCAGCAGCCGGGACUCCGGGGCAUCUGCGAGGCGCUGCGUUGCCAUGGGAACGCGGCGGCGCCCGGGCGGAACCUAGCGUUUAUUACCUGAGAAUGGGGCGCGGGGACGCCGCGGCCCCUCCCCCCGAUCCCGCACCCCGGCGGGUCGACGCGCAUUCUCCCGGUCCCCGUCAGCUUUGCCGGGAAAGCUGAAAUCAGACGCUGCGCGAAGGACUCUUUGCAAAAGCUUCAGCCUGCUGGCCGAGCCGGACGCCCCGGCUGGAGGCCCCUGCGGGAUCGGCCCGCGCAGCCCUUGCUUUGUCGCCACUUCGGCUCGUCGCCCAGGCCCGGGGUGCGACGCGGGGCGCAGAGAGCCCCAUUCGCUUCGCCGACGCCCUAGGACCACGCCAGGAGUAGGAACGCAGCGCGACGUCCCGCAGAUGCAGACAGAACCCCGACGUGGGCAUUUUUGCAGAACCAUCCCAAAGCCAAGAGGCGUUGACUACUACUACUCGCCCCUCAGGCUCUCUAAGAGGAGGGAGGGAGCAUAAAAGACAUUUACCCCGAGUCCUAGUUAUUGGAACAUGUUUCUAACACCCUGGCUGUCCUAGUGGCUAGAAGCUUAUUGCAGGAAGGUAUUGUUUGCGUAAUUAAUUAAUAGAAACAAUAACUGGGCUCCUGAAACCCGCGCUGCCGGGUGCCGGGCGGAGGGCUGGACGGGAGGUGCUGGCCUGGCCGCUUCGGGAAGUACCGGCAGCGGUACCCGCGGGGCGCAUCCAUACCCAGGCUCACUCAACUUCCACGGUUUACUUAAUUAGGAGAAACGCAGAAAGCGGACGAGCUCUAUUUUACACACCGCACUUUCUCCUGUUGGGUCACUGGCGGAGCCCCUGUCUGCGGAGACAUCCGGGCUCCAUGCCUGGGGUUGAAAAAUCCGCCUCCAGGGAGCGAAGGUCUUGUCGCUCCAGGGUAUAAAUAUUAAUAAGCUGAGAGGCCGGGGCAUAAUUAUCUCUUUUUAAUUGCAACUCAACCAAAAAAUCCAGUCUCCUGCCACUCAGGCCCCACGAAGUCGGGAAUGCUAGGUUUUGGUGUCAGGAGACUCCCUCGGUGCAAAGUCGUUCUUUGUAUCCUCCGCCCAACAUAUAAACCAUAUGCUGCGCCUCUCGGCGUGUUAAAAGCACCCAUGCAGAGAUUUGAGCUGAAGGCCCUUCGCUCGCCUCAUCCCCGGCCGCCUAGUGCGCCCUAUUUGUCCCCCAGCUACCAGGGGACUUGGCCUCUAUCCCCCCUCACCCUAC